GGCAGCAGUAGGGAAUCUUCCGCAAUGGGCGCAAGCCUGACGGAGCGACGCCGCGUGAGUGAAGAAAGCCUUCGGGUUGUAAAGCUCUGUCUUUGGCGAAGAAGAACCUAAGGAAGAAAUGCCUUAGGAGUGACGGUAGCCAAGGAGGAAGCCCCGGCUAACUACGUGCCAGCAGCCGCGGUAAUACGUAGGGGGCGAGCGUUGUCCGGAAUUAUUGGGCGUAAAGGGCGCGCAGGCGGUCUAUACAAGUCUUGUGUGAAAACCUAGGGCUCAACCCUGGGGCUGCACAAGAAACUGUUAGACUUGAGGACAGAAGAGGAGAGUGGAAUUCCUAGUGUAGCGGUGAAAUGCGUAGAUAUUAGGAGGAACACCAGUGGCGAAGGCGACUCUCUGGUCUGUAACUGACGCUGAGGCGCGAAAGCGUGGGUAGCAAACAGGAUUAGAUACCCUGGUAGUCCACGCCGUAAACGAUGAGUGCUAGGUGU
rnacentral:rRNA from 1 species